CAGUUACCCCAGGCGGGGUGAGCUGCCUGCAGCGGCUGCACCAAGUGGGGGGGGGGGCUCCCCCCCUUGGAGGACGGGGCAUCUCAGCACCUGCUGCCCAGGGCUGCGCUCUUAUGCCCAAGGCAGCGUCGCCUUGUCUGAAGCCAGGUCCUGAGCUGCUAACGGAGACUUGGAUGAAGUCUAUUCAUGAAAGGUGACACAACUUUGGAACUGAAGCUAAUAACUUCAAGGCUAUGAUUUCUCUGUUCUGACUGAAUCCCUCAAAAUUCGGUUGUAAAAAUUUGGCAGAGAGAUGGAAGCGUCAAGAUGGGAAGGGACAUGAUGGUUGCUCUCCUAGACUUUGUAUCUUAAAUCAUUUCUGGAAGUGAAGUGCACAUUGUGUAUAUAUCCAUCUAUCUCACCCUCCACAAAGAUGCAACACUGAUAGAAUACAAGGUAAGAUUUUAGCAAGCAGAUCUGGAGUCCCUACGGUAAAUUUGAAGCAAUACAAAAGCCAAAAGUCUACAAAGUUGAGCACUCCAAGACCACCAGUUGUGUGAAUUAAAAAAAGACCUAAACUAACAGAAGGUCCAAUAUACAGAUUGUUUCAGGAGCAUUGGUCUCAAGUCUUGAUGUUUCCUGGGGCAAGUGAAAAAGCUGUUUUAACCACUUGCGUAUUUCAGGGAAGACUGACAUGGAGUUCCACUGUAAACCAAGCC